rfam:Canis lupus familiaris chromosome 27, whole genome shotgun sequence.
UCUUAAAAAAAAAAAAAAACUAAAAUUGAAAUGUUAGAAGAUUAGUAUAGCUCCUGUGCAAGGAUGACACUCAAAUUAAUGAAGCAUUCCAUAAUUUG